UCAUUCCAUACAUUUUAACAA
rnacentral:piRNA from 1 species